rnacentral:rRNA from 1 species
UGGGGAAUAUUGGACAAUGGGCGCAAGCCUGAUCCAGCCAUGCCGCGUGAGUGAUGAAGGCCCUAGGGUUGUAAAGCUCUUUCACCGGUGAAGAUAAUGACGGUAACCGGAGAAGAAGCCCCGGCUAACUUCGUGCCAGCAGCCGCGGUAAUACGAAGGGGGCUAGCGUUGUUCGGAUUUACUGGGCGUAAAGCGCACGUAGGCGGACUAUUAAGUCAGGGGUGAAAUCCCGGGGCUCAACCCCGGAACUGCCUUUGAUACUGGUAGUCUUGAGUUCGAGAGAGGUGAGUGGAAUUUCGAGUGUAGAGGUGAAAUUCGUAGAUAUUCGGAGGAACACCAGUGGCGAAGGCGGCUCACUGGCUCGAUACUGACGCUGAGGUGCGAAAGCGUGGGGAGCAAACAGG